ensembl:misc_RNA Metazoa_SRP Metazoan signal recognition particle RNA
GCCGGGCAUGAUGGCUCAUGCCUGUAAUCCCAGCACUUUGGGAGGCCGAGGCGGGUGGAUCACCUGAGGUCAGGAGUUCAAGACCAGCCUGGCCAACAUGGCGAAACCCCGUCUCAC